UGUACACACCGCCCGUCACACCAUGGGAGCGGGUUCUGCCAGAAGUAGUUAGCCUAACCGUAAGGAGGGCGAUUACCACGGCAGGGUUCGUGACUGGGGUGAAGUCGUAACAAGGUAGCCGUAUCGGAAGGUGCGGCUGGAUCACCUCCUUUCUGGAAAUAUGCAGUCAAAUUCUUACGCCCAUUCUUAUCGGCUGUUGUGUUAAACAACAGCAAUGUCACCGAGUUAAUUCAAGUUAAUUAGCAUUAAUUGGUGCCGCCUUCGAGUUUAUUAAUGAGAGGGUCUGUAGCUCAGCUGGUUAGAGCAUCGUCUUGAUAAGGCGGGGGUCGUUGGUUCGAGUCCAACCAGACCCACCAAUUGGGCUUAGGUGGAGAGCGAGAAGCGAAAAAGAAAUCCCGGGGGAUUAGCUCAGCUGGGAGAGCACCUGCUUUGCAAGCAGGGGGUCGACGGUUCGAUCCCGUCAUCCUCCACCAAAAUAUUCAGUAGAUUGAUAGAUUCAGUCUGUUGGAAAAAAACUUAUCAGAAGCAAAUUAAAUUAAUGCAAAGCAUGUUCACGACAAGUCGCGAGGAUGCUUUGUAUUGAUUGAUUCAUUUCAAUUAUUGGCUGUUCUUUAAAAAUUUAUAGAGUUAAAUUAGCGUCGUUAGCGGAAACUGCACAUUCGUAAAGGUUUAGUGCAGACCGUGCCGCUAGCGACAUAGUAGUAAAUAAUUUUUUGAUUGCGUCAAAAGAAACUUUUAAUUUCGAUAGUAAUUUAUUGAAUAAUUGGAAGAUACGGCAUAACGCGUGUGGUGUAAGACCACACAAUCAUUCCUUGAAGAUAACUGAAGAGAAAUCAAAGUUAUAGGGUCAAGCGAAUAAGAGCAUAUGGUGGAUGCCUAGGCAAUGAUAGGCGACGAAAGACGUGAUAGCCUGCGAUAAGCUUCGGGGAGCUGGCAAAUUAGCUUUGAUCCGGAGAUUUCUGAAUGGGGAAACCCACCCUUCGGGGUAACGCUGACUGAAUACAUAGGUCUGCGUGGCGAACCGGGUGAACUGAAACAUCUCAGUAGCUCGAGGAAAAGACAUCAACCGAGAUUCCGAGAGUAGUGGCGAGCGAAA
rnacentral:misc_RNA from 1 species